CCCUUAGAUGUCCUGGGCUGCACGCGCGCUACACUGAUGUGUCCAGUAAGCACCUAACCUCUUCCGAAAGGAACGGGUAACCUUUGCAAAGCACAUCGUGAUGGGGAUAGAUUAUUGCAAUUAUUAGUCUUGAACGAGGAAUUCCCAGUAAGCACAAGUCAUCAGCUUGUGUUGAUUACGUCCCUGCCCUUUGUACACACCGCCCGUCGCUCCUACCGAUUGAAUGUUCCGGUGAGCUCUUCGGACUGCGCGGUCUGCAGUUUCUGCGUUCCGUGCGGAAAGUUGCGCAAACCUUAACAUUUAGAGGAAGGAGAAGUCGUAACA
rnacentral:rRNA from 1 species